rnacentral:lncRNA from 1 species
ACUUGGAAAAAACAUACAUCAUAUUGCAAUAUAAUUUACUUUGAGAUUUCAAUUUGGAAAAUGGCAUGGAAAUAAUCCAGCUUGAACAUCGUCCUCCUCACCUCCUGGACUAGGGCGAGGGCCCCUUAUAUUUCUUCAUGGCAAUUGUGUCACAGUUCAAACGCUCGUACCCUGACUCCAUCUGGGAUUUGGAAUGCACUCAGGGAAGUGGCUGUGCAUGGAGACUAGAAAUGGAAGAGGCUUCCAAGGUCAUGCCUUUCAGGCUCCCUUCAAAUUCUACAGCUACUGUGAAGAGAGUUGCAUUCCCACAGAGAACAUGUCAGACUGGAGGAAAAUUGUGACAAAAGGUCUCCCCAAAGCCUGGAAGGUAGAAAAUAUAAAUAGAAGAAAGAGAGGUGCAAAUCAACCCACUUCUAUUCAACCCACCAGCAUAGUCAACCUGUGACAUUUACUACCAUGGGGAGCUGCUGAGGCAGGGUAGAGUUGGAUUUGAGGAAGGAUUAGAUAAUUUUAUGAGCAUGACUAACAUUUAAAGCUAUGUGAGCUAAAACAAAAAAGAUACGAGGAAAUGAAGUCUCAUGUUCCAGGAUGUAAAUUGAUCACAUGUGGAAGGAGGGGCAAAAGGAAUUCCCACCUCGCAAUCCAGCGUGGGAUAUUACAGAAUGAGCCAGUUGCAAUAGGCUUGACUUUCCCUCUUUAUUUUCCUUUUCCUUUUCUCUGGUACAUCUGAUUCUGGCUAAACAGUAGGUGGGGAUAUUAGCCCUGACAAAUAGCGAUUUGAUCCCACAGGGCAACUCCUAUUGAAAACCAAGAUAACACAAAUAUUUUCAAUUCUUCAAGUUGAACCUAGACUAAGUAUUUUGUUUUGCGGGUGAUCCCUCUGUUCUUUUAUUAAGAGAAGAUCAUUUUAUGAGAACUAAGAAUAUUUGCAUUCCUAGCAUUUAAAAUUCUCAACAAACACAUUGCUCAAGCAAAUAAAAAGAAUAGAACCAAGUAAGGUAAGAUCUUCUUAAUUAGUUGAGACUUUUGAGCAAGGAUGAAUCCAGUCUUGAAGUACUGGCAAUUUCAAAAUACUCAUUUUACCUUAAACGUACAAAUAAAAUGUGUUUCUGAGCUGCAGUAUUCUGAGCUUGGUGAUGAUUGAAGGCCCUGGAAGAGGGGAUGGCAGAUUUUAUUGGGCUGGAUGGGUUCUCACCCGCCAUCUCCCCAUGGGAAAUUUUGUAAAAAUAUUCAACUCUAAUGGUUCAGUGAAAAGCAUUUGGGCCUCAGGGAAUCAACGGGAGCUAAGUUUUAUAGAGUGAAUCCCAUCUGGGACUAGAAGAAUUAAGAAACAGAACUAUGGGAGACAGGCAACAAGAGGAAUAGCAAUAUCAGCCCCAUGGUACAAAAAGUUAGUCUUUCAUUGUAUAAGCAGUGCUAUGAUUUCCUGCAUUAAGAUUACAAAAGCAAUCAGAUCAGAGAUUGUGGACUUUUUUCAUUAUAGGAUUUGAGUUGACCCUUUCUUCAACUAUGAAUUCUUUGGUUGGGGAACAGCCCUGAUUUCCAAUAUGAACCCUAAAUAUCAUUUGCUUCAGGAAGGAUUUUUCCUGUUGGUUCUUAGCAAUGUUUCUGAACUUGUGGCAAUGGUUGUCUAUACAAAAUUGACUACUCCAUUCUCUUAUCCCUUCCUCCCUAGCAUAGACCACUUCUCAUUAUAAAACUUUUUUUUUUUUUUUUUUGAGAUGAACUCUUGCUCUGUUGCCCAGGCUGAAGUGCUGUGGCACAAUCUCGGCUCACUGCAACCACAGCCUCCCGGGUUCAAGUGAUUCUCCCACCUCAGUCUCUCAAGUAGCUAGGAUUACAGGUGCGUGUCACCCAUGACCAGAUAAUUUUUGUAUUUUUAGGAGACAUGGGUUUUGCCAUGUUGGCCAGGCUGGUCUCAAACUCCAGACCUCAAGUGAUUCUCCCGCCUCAGCCUCCCAAAGUGCCGGAAUUACAGGCAUGUACCACUGCACCCGGCCUAUAAAACUUAAAAUUCCAAACAGGCAUCUAGUUUUGCAGCCUUAUCUUGCACCUAGAAUUGACUAUGUGACUCAGUUGUGGCCACUUCUGGCUUGGAGGAUGCUAGGAAAUAUUUUCCUUUUUGGAUAAAAGGAGAGAAAUAUGGGAGGAGAGUUGUGUUUUCUGUUUGUUUGUUUGUUUGCUUGCUUGCUUGUUUGUUUUUCUGGCUAUCCCUUCUCUCUCCUUGACAUAGUGGGGAAAGAAUGUGGCAUUUCAUACUGUGGCAAUUAUUUUGUGACCAUGAGAUGACAAACUUGAGGAUCAAAGGCACCAUGGUAUCAUUGACAAGAUGGAAGGGGAGAAAAAUCUUGAGUUCAUAAUGACAUCCCUGAGCCACUACAACAACCCUGAGACCAUGAGCCUGUUGAUUUCUUGAAGCCACUUUUAGAUGGAUAUUCUGUUACAGCCCAAAGCCUUCUAACUAUUAAAUACACCCAGUGAAAAUGUGGCUAUGUGUUCCAAUAGAGCACAGAACCCCAAAGAAACACACGGCCUGUGACUUCUGGUCAUAUCGAAUCACUGAUAUUCCCUGAUGUACACUGGCAUAUUUCUCUUGGAAAAAAUAGCGAACCAGGGCUUCCUUGAUGGUUGUCUGAGAAUUCAUUGGCUAAUACUGGCAGAGCCUAAGGCCAUGAACAUGCUCAUCAUUACUAAGGAGGCAGCAAUCCUGGAGGUUGCAAUUCAACAUGAGAAAGAAAAGGAGGAUUUUGCUCCAAAUUCCACACAAGGUUUCCUUCCCUCUUUUUCUCAUUUCCCACAAUCUUACCCUUUUCUUUGUGUCUUAUUUUGGCUUCAGAAAACCUCUUUACCUUUUCAUUUUCCAAUUCUGAUGUUACUUAAUUCUUCAAUAUGGUAAAGCAAUAAAAAGAAAGCUGGCUGAUAAUCUGAGAGCAGUGCCAAAAAUGUAUGUUUGGAAUGUUAGGACUUUAUCGAAAAAUACGACUUUAUUGAAUAAGCAGAAAUUUUGUUAAGCUCCAAAGGAAUCUAACCAUCUCCCCUCCCCCACCAUCACUGCCUAAAUUUCACAUCCUCUGAUAACUUAAGUGCCUUCCCAGACUGGCAUAUCUUCUAGUCUGCAUAUCCUAAACUACAAAUCCAAUACUAUCGAGUGACUGGAAAUGGUACAACUCAAAAGGCUAGGAAAAAUCCUGCUCUAUGGAAACACAUUCAUUUUUAAAAUUUCUUUAUUUCAAACGUUUCCAUCCUAAUUUCCCUUCUUGAAGAAUUUUCAUUAUACAUGAGCAGGGAAUUAUGAUGUGUGUCAUAUUUUAUAACUUAGCUAAUUUGAAGAUACUUUUUUCUUUUACAUCUGUUAGAUUUUUAAAAAAAAAAAAGUGUAUUAUACUUUAAGUUCUGGGAUACAUGUGCAGAAUGUGCAAGUUUGUUACACAGGUAUAUGUGCCAUGGUGGUUUGCUGUGCCCUUCAACCCGACCAUCCUGAGCUCAAAGCCCAGAAUCAGAGCUGAUGAGUAACCAAGGAAUUCAGAUUUUAGUACUGAAAAUAAUGUAUAGGAAAUUCCAUUGUUCUGGAGGACAAGAAUUUAGCAUUCAUAGCUGAAAUGUGUAAGAGGAAAAAAAUUGCCAGAAAAAUGCUGUUUGCAAUGCUGUGAGGGUCUGCUCUAAAUGGUGUUUCUUGUGGGAGGGACUUGGUGUGACGCGGUGUUGUGUGUUUUGGUUUUUGGUUUUCAUCUGGAGGCUUUUUUGCUUUUGUUUCUCAGACUAUUAGGACGGCUAAUAUCCAAAACGCUGACAGUACCAAAUGGUAGAGCA